rnacentral:rRNA from 1 species
UUUGGAGGGCAAGUCUGGUGCCAGUAGCCGCGGUUUGGAGGGCCAAGUCUGGUGCCAGCAGCCGCGGUAAUUCCAGCUCCAAUAGCGUAUAUUAAAGUUGUUGCAGUUAAAAAGCUCGUAGUUGAAUUUCAGGCCUGGCUGGGCGGUCCGCCUUUUGGGUGAGUACUGCCUGUGGUCGGGUCCUACCUUCUGGCGAAGCGUCAUGGCCUUAACCGGCCGUGGCGGGGAACCAGGACUUUUACUGUGAAAAAAUUAGAGUGUUCAAAGCAGGCAUUCGCUUGAAUACAUUAGCAUGGAAUAAUGGAAUAGGACAGUGGUUCUAUUUGUUGGUUUCUAGGACCGUUGUAAUGAUUAAUAGGGAUAGUUGGGGGCAUUAGUAUUCAAUUGUCAGAGGUGAAAUUCUUGGAUUUAUUGAAGACUAACUACUGCGAAAGCAUUUGCCAAGGAUGUUUUCAUUAAUCAAGAACGAAAGUUAGGGGAUCGAAGACGAUCAGAUACCGUCGUAGUCUUAACCAUAAACUAUGCCGACUUGUUGUACAACUACUUUCACACCC